CUACGACUUCUCCGAUCCCUUGGAUAACGGUUUUUUCGCUGAUGGAGUGCUGAAACGGCGGUGACUGAGGGCUCACUGUCAUUCACAAGUGGGUCCAGUCUGGUUUGGGGGUCUACCCUUUCUCAUCAUGUCCUGCUACCCAAUAAAAAGGGAAAUAACUAAAGGCCUCUGCAGCUGCUUUUACAGAUGCUGUGAGAGUCAUGCCCUGUGCAGCGGCUUCUGAUUCAGUACAGCAGUUCAAUCAGCCCAGCAAACAGGAAAAACAGUUAAAUGUGUUUUAACACAUUUAACAGUUAAAACAGUUAAAUGUGUUUUAACUGUCAGCAUCCCUACCCAAAAAAGAUCAGGCUACUGUUAUUUCCAACUAAGAAAAAAAAUGGUCUGGUUUGAAGGUUAUCUGUGUUUUGAAGCAUGU